rnacentral:lncRNA from 1 species
UCCAUCCUUGAUGGUUCCACCAUAUGGCUCGAUCACCGCCACUAAGUAGAUACCACCCCGUGUCACCUUCGCAGUCUGAUCGCGACUUUCGAAUGGCGGCACACAGUUUCCCCCAUUUAUUUGCUAGCAUAAGGGUUAUCACUUUCAACCCUUAAAGUUGUCCCACACAUAGGGCCAACAGAUAUUUCCACUCUUCCACGAAUGCAAAUCAUUCGUGUUGACCAGUUUAUGAAAUUCAUUCCCCGAGUACAAAUUGGCUCACUUCAUAUUGAAUAAAUCUUCCCCUUUCUCACAAGAAUGCGAACAAAUGCAUCCUCACAAUUCAG